AAACACAUUACAGUUGUUUGGCUCAUUUCUUGUAACCUCCACCCCCAUCUCUUCCCGGAGCAAGCUUCAGGUGUUCUGCCAUCGCUGCAUCCACUUCAGAGUCUCCACCUCUUCACAGCAUCUGAGGGAUGAGAACACAUUUCUUUUUAAAAUAAAUAAAAUAAAACAUUUGAGAUAAAUGACAUGCACUUAUUUUCAAAAUAUCUUUAUGGUCUACAGCUAAAAAAAAAAAAGAAAACAAAACCCUUCGACCAAGAUGAAUGAAUCAUGAAUGAAACAUUAGAAAAAAAGGUAAUCAACAAGCAUUAGAUUGUAUUUUUAUUGUACAAAAGGUGUUACGCUUUAAUGUGAUGCCCUUGAGAAACACUCACAGUGUAACUGUGAGAAAGUGAACAGGACAUUUCUGAUAAGACAGGAGAGCUGUGAUGUCCCCUGAAUAAUUAAUUAAAGCGUACCAAUAAAAAUUACAUCAAUAUAAGUAACUUUUAGCCUUCUAACGUUAGCUAAUUUUAGCCAUACUCAGUGAAUUUCAGUUGACAAGGUGGGCAUCAUUUCUCUCGGUUCCUUUUUGUCAAACAAGUAAAACUCAAGCACGUUAAUCAAAUAAUACAAAAUGUACUUACACAACAGUAGAUUUUAUAUAAUUUAUAUCGAUACAUCUCAGUCCUCUUCGAGUCCUCUCCUCCUCGUGGUUGCCUGCUCAAUAUACCGGAACUUCCGGAAGAAAGCAAGAUCUAAUCUAUACUAUCGCGGGAUUUUGUAAUUACACGAAAUAUAUUAGUAUAUUUUGUGUCUACAUCUUGGCAGCACCGUUUUGGAAAUUACAUUCAACUCAGACCGAAAUUGUGACCGGGUAUAUAUCUUUUUUACAUGUAUUCAAUAAAAUUCAAUAAAUAUAAUAACAACAAAUACAUAAAACAGGUUGAAAUAAUGACUAAAUUGCAGCAUUUCUUUGCAAUCAAUUAACUACACUGGGCUCUUUGUGAUUAUAUAUUUUUUAAACAAGAUAAAGUGAAUAUAUUUACUUUAUAUAUAUUUUUUUUCCUGCUAGUCUUGCUUGGACAUCUUUUCACAAACCAUGAGGAGACGUGUAAAAGACGUCAGUGGACGUCUAUUCACAACCUCUUUAAAACCUCUUAAAAACUACUUGGUGCACUUUAAUUAAAUAUUGCAGUAUUAAUCAAGGUAUAAGCACAGCUUUUGCAUAUUCCACAAGGAUUUCACAUAGGGUCAUGAUGGACGUGUAACGCACAUGUAAAUGACGUCACUAGGUGACGUCCUCUCACAACCGAUUCACAACGCGGGUAAAUAUUGAACUACAUGUAUCUAAAAGUCAAAGAAACAAUUAUACAUGAAACCCCAUAGAACUAUAAACGUGUACAAACAUAUCUGAAUGCAUUUUUACGAAAUGUUCUGUGUUACAUAUUUCUACCGAUUUAUGCCGUCCUACCGCGACUAUUUUUGGCCGGCCACACGACGUCGCCGUCGGACCAAUGUUUGCUGGGUUGUUAGAGAAAGUUCAAAUCAAAGCAGUUUGUGAUAUCCGGUUCAUGAACGAAUCAUUCAAUGUAACCGAAUCUUUUUGAACCAGUUCACCAAAUCGAACUGAAUCAUUUUAAACGGUUCUCGUCUCCAAUACGCAUUAAUCCACAAAUGACUUAACUGUUAACUUUUUUAAUGUGUCUAACACUCCCUCUGAGUUCAAACAAACCAAUAUCCCGGAGUAAUUUAUGAACUCAAACAGUACACUGACUGAACUGCUGUGAAGAGAGAACUGAAGAUGAACACCGAGUAAGUGUUUUACCUCAUUAACUAUAUUCAUAUAUUUUCAUAUAUAUAUUCCUUUGUAUAUAUUUGUAAAUAACUUUUCAAUAUACGGUCCUCAAACUCUCUAUACGGCAUGAGUUAAACUGUUCACCAUUCAAAGUGAAUUUGUGUCCUCACAAGACUUAGCGUAUGACACGUGGGUAGCAUGAACUACAAAUUAGAUUAGAUUUUGUUGGUACACUUGUACUGUCAUUUAUUUAUGUGCUGUCCCAUUUAUGUGCAUUCAUUCUGAUAGACGGAGCCCUGCCUCAGCGCAUUGAGAUCAACAUGGAACCCAGGAACCACAACUUAUUUUCCUUUUUACAACAAAAAUCCAUAUUUUUACAGUGAGUUAAAUGCUUUUCCUUAAAGGGUUAUGGUUUACCCCAAAAUUUUAAUAAUCAUCUACUUACCCUUGAAGUUUGUCUUAUCACAAAAGGAGAUUUCAAUACAAUGUCCCGAAUAUGCUUGUCCAUAUAAUGUCAGUCUAACAUCAAGCUGUUAAAAUAGAAGCCAAAGUAUAACAGAGUGGUCUUAUGUAUCAUGUGAUGCAUAUUCCAAGUGUUCUGUGUGUAUACAAUAAGGUUUGGUGAGAAACAUACUGAACUUUUUCAUAUUAUUUAACAAACAUCCUGACUGGAUUGUUGGUCUCUGUGCAUGACUGUGUGCUCAUGAGACACUAUUCGUUCAGUUCACACUGAAUUGCACACAAGUUUUGAAAAAAAUCAAGAUUCAUAAAAAUAUUACAUAAAAAACUAAGCAUGGAAAUCCCAAAAAUGUGUAAUUUCUCCACUGACUCCGGACUGGAGCUUCGGUUGUCAUGAGAGUCAAAAUGACAGCUGACAGAUGAACGUGAUCACUUCCUGUUGCAAUGAGCACAACAGAUGUAUUUACCUCAGAGAAAAAAACCCAUAGAUUGUAUUUUAUUUUGUGUUUUUAUUCAUCUUGAUUGGUCACAACUCACAUUCAUGCACAGAGACCAGCAGUCAGGUUAAUAAAGAUGACAUCAUUUUUAUUGUUUGGGGGCGAAAUAACCUUUAAAACAAAUUGUUCACCUGAAUUGUUAUUUACUUAUACUCAUGCCAUUCCACAGACAUGUAAGACACACAUGUCAUACAGGAUUGGAACCACAUGAAGAUUGACAAAAUUUUGGGGAGCACUUUUGUGAUGCUGCAAGUGGGAGUGGAUUUGCUUAGCUGGAAACUGCAGAGAACCACGUCUUGUCGUCCUAAAAAAAAAAAAAAACUACUUCCUCCAAGGAGGUCCAAACGCCAUUGGUACAGACUUUGUUCAGUGAUGAGUAACAUACAUUCAGCCUUUGCGGUCACAACAGACUCCGCACUUGAGGGGUAAACGGACUGAAUGCCACCCCGGGAAUGCGCUCUACUUUGCACCUUCACAUCAGCUAAGUACGACCCUGCAUUCAGCUCUCAUGGUAAUGAAUGAGAUGCUGUGGUUUAAACUGAUAAAUGUAAGCACUAUAAACCUAAUGAAAUUCAAAAUACAUAUUGACAAAAAUAAGAUUUUGCACUGAUUUGCUUUGACUUGCUUUUAUACUGAUUUGCUUUGACUAUAUGUUUUAAUUUUUUAAGAAUAUGUUGUUUAAAUGUAUUGAAAACACUGAAUGUGAAGACAUUUUUGUGCAGGGAUAAAGAGUUACAAUGUUUCAAUUUAAAUAAAUAAUUGUAAACACGCAUUUUAAAAUAUUUUUUUACUUGAACAUUGAACUCCUGAACCUGAACACCACACAAUUAACUCAAUUUUAACACUCCUGAAAUGUAUAUUUAACUCCCUCUGUUUCGGAGUUAGAAUAACACUUUCAGAAGUGUGAAAUAUGUACAUUACACACAGAGUACAUUUCAACACCAUGCUGGAUUUACAAAUAAACUCUUUCAGUCUUAAAAUGUACUUAUUUCACACUUUCGAAAGUGUUAUUUUAACUCCCAAAACGGAGGGAGUCAUAUAUACAUUACAUAGGUUUGUUAAAUUUGACUCAAAUUGAGUUCAAUGUACACUGGCGUUGUUGCUGUGGGGUGCCUAAUCUUUCCGUCAGACAAGACGAGUCGGGUCGGCAUGAACAAGUUUCUUUGGCAAUGAAUGUUUGGGGCUUACCCUCCUUGUGAAGGGUGUCAAUGAUUGUCUUCUGGACAGCUGUAGACCAGCAGUCUUCCCCAUGAUUGUGCACAACCCACUUAGACUCAUUAUGUCACCUGCACCCAGCUGAAGUUUGGUACCAAAAAAAGUAUUGAUUGCAAGUUUGAGAUGAUUGAAGUGUUUAUGUAUAGCUUGAAUUAGCUUAACAUUGGUUUUAAUUUGAAAAAGAAAAUUGUCUUUUUAUAAGUAAGUUAAAACAAGACAUUCUUUUAGAUCAUCUUAACAUGAUACCCUAAUUCAAAGACAUAACUUAAUUGAAAUUACUACGUUGAACCCACUCAUGGGGAUAAGUUAACAGAAUGCUCACUACUGAGUUCACUUUAUUUUGAACUUGCAUAGCAAAGUUGAAACAACUAUAAUUGUAUAGUCAUGUUGAUGCACAGAAGACAAUUCACAGCUUAACAAGACUCAAAAUAAUGAGUUAAAUCAAUUCAUUAAUCCAUUUUGUUUUUAAUUGAAAUUUUGAGGCAGCUGCUUAACUUAUGAUUUUAAGUAGAACCAAGUAGAUAUUGUUUUACAGUGAUAGACACUGUUUCGUUUCCAAUUUCUACAGGUGCCCAAUGUGCUGGAUUCCUCUUUUUUAUCUAUUUAUUUUCCUCUGUUGUAAUAAUAAAUAAUAAUUUGUUUGUUCGUUUCACACAUCAGUUGUUAACACUUUUGAGUGGGAAUAAGAGUUUUCAUUAUACUGUUUUUUAGAAAUGUUUUUUUAUUUCUUUAUUUUCAGAAACAAAGUGUAAGACAUAAAAUGGAUCUGGGAGUUUGUUCAGAGAAUGGUCUCAUAAAAUAAAUAAACAUAUUCAUAGUG